GCCCAGCCUGCCAGACAGGAACUGGGCCCAGGUGCUGAGACUGCCAGGAGUGACCUCUAUGCAGACUGCCUGCUCCAAAACCAGCAGCGCAGGUGUCCCUGCAUGUCCUCAAAAGAUGGUUCUGAGACACCUGAGGAUACCAAAACUGUCAAUGCUCAGAUGGGCAUGGUGGCGCACACUUGUGAUCCUAGCGAUGUGGGAGGCUGAGGCAGGAGGAUCUAAAGUUUGAGGCCAGCCUGGGCUACUUAGUGAGACUCUAAGCAACUUAUCCCAAAUCAAAAAAUAAAAAGAGGUAGGGACGAUCUCAGUGGUAAAACAUGCGUGGGUUCAAGCCCCAGUGCCAAAAAAGAAACCAAAAAGCUAUUUUAAAAAAAUUGCCAAUGCUCAAGUCCCUCCCAUAAAAAUGGCCUCAUGUAACCUAUGACCA
rnacentral:lncRNA from 1 species